rnacentral:lncRNA from 1 species
AAAUUUAGCUAUUGAAUCGGUCCAUGGCUAUGAUCUUUGGCCUUCACCUACAACUUACAAGACAACCAUGACUAAUGUUCAAGGAAGCGCUAGGCGUUAUUUAGGCGGUAACCCAACGCCUGGCGCCUAAAACGCUUAGUCGGAGCCUAGACGAUUCUAGGCGUUUUAGACGUUUACAACAUAAAACAUAUAUAAUAUAAUAUUAUAAAUAAAAUAAUAUAAAACUAUAUGUUCGAAAAAUAAAAAUAAUAAAUUAUAAA